rnacentral:rRNA from 1 species
AUUGAACGCUGGCGGCAUGCUUUACACAUGCAAGUCGAACGGUAACAGGGUGCUUGCACCGCUGACGAGUGGCGAACGGGUGAGUAAUGCGUCGGAACGUGCCGAGUAGUGGGGGAUACCGCAGCGAAAGUUGUGCUAAUACCGCAUACGUACUGAGGUAGAAAGUGGGGGACCUUCGGGCCUCACGCUAUUCGGGCGGCCGGCGUAUGAUUAGCUAGUAGGUGAGGUAAAGGCUCCCCUAGGCGACGAUCAGUAGCGGGUCUGAGAGGAUGAUCCGCCACCCUGGGACUGAGACACGGCCCAGGCUCCUACGGGAGGCAGCAGUGGGGAAUUUUGGACAAUGGGCGAAAGCCUGAUCCAGCCAUGCCGCGUGUCUGAAGAAGGCCUUCGGGUUGUAAAGGACUUUUGUCAGGGAGGAAAUCCCUAGUGCUAAUAACACUGGGGGAUGACAGUACCUGAAGAAUAAGCACCGGCUAACUACGUGCCAGCCGCCGCCGUAA